rnacentral:rRNA from 1 species
UUGAAGAGUUUGAUCAUGGCUCAGAUUGAACGCUGGCGGCAGGCCUAACACAUGCAAGUCGAGCGGUAGCACAGAGAGCUUGCUCUCGGGUGACGAGCGGCGGACGGGUGAGUAAUGUCUGGGAAACUGCCUGAUGGAGGGGGAUAACUACUGGAAACGGUAGCUAAUACCGCAUAACGUCGCAAGACCAAAGUGGGGGACCUUCGGGCCUCAUGCCAUCAGAUGUGCCCAGAUGGGAUUAGCUAGUAGGUGGGGUAACGGCUCACCUAGGCGACGAUCCCUAGCUGGUCUGAGAGGAUGACCAGCCACACUGGAACUGAGACACGGUCCAGACUCCUACGGGAGGCAGCAGUGGGGAAUAUUGCACAAUGGGCGCAAGCCUGAUGCAGCCAUGCCGCGUGUGAAGAAGGCCUUCGGGUUGUAAAGCACUUUCAGCGGGGAGGAAGGCGGUGAGGUUAAUAACCUCAUCGAUUGACGUUACCCGCAGAAGAAGCACCGGCUAACUCCGUGCCAGCAGCCGCGGUAAUACGGAGGGUGCAAGCGUUAAUCGGAAUUACUGGGCGUAAAGCGCACGCAGGCGGUCUGUCAAGUCGGAUGUGAAAUCCCCGGGCUCAACCUGGGAACUGCAUUCGAAACUGGCAGGCUAGAGUCUUGUAGAGGGGGGUAGAAUUCCAGGUGUAGCGGUGAAAUGCGUAGAGAUCUGGAGGAAUACCGGUGGCGAAGGCGGCCCCCUGGACAAAGACUGACGCUCAGGUGCGAAAGCGUGGGGAGCAAACAGGAUUAGAUACCCUGGUAGUCCACGCCGUAAACGAUGUCGAUUUGGAGGUUGUGCCCUUGAGGCGUGGCUUCCGGAGCUAACGCGUUAAAUCGACCGCCUGGGGAGUACGGCCGCAAGGUUAAAACUCAAAUGAAUUGACGGGGGCCCGCACAAGCGGUGGAGCAUGUGGUUUAAUUCGAUGCAACGCGAAGAACCUUACCUGGUCUUGACAUCCACAGAACUUUCCAGAGAUGGAUUGGUGCCUUCGGGAACUGUGAGACAGGUGCUGCAUGGCUGUCGUCAGCUCGUGUUGUGAAAUGUUGGGUUAAGUCCCGCAACGAGCGCAACCCUUAUCCUUUGUUGCCAGCGGUCCGGCCGGGAACUCAAAGGAGACUGCCAGUGAUAAACUGGAGGAAGGUGGGGAUGACGUCAAGUCAUCAUGGCCCUUACGACCAGGGCUACACACGUGCUACAAUGGCAUAUACAAAGAGAAGCGACCUCGCGAGAGCAAGCGGACCUCAUAAAGUAUGUCGUAGUCCGGAUUGGAGUCUGCAACUCGACUCCAUGAAGUCGGAAUCGCUAGUAAUCGUAGAUCAGAAUGCUACGGUGAAUACGUUCCCGGGCCUUGUACACACCGCCCGUCACACCAUGGGAGUGGGUUGCAAAAGAAGUAGGUAGCUUAACCUUCGGGAGGGCGCUUACCACUUUGUGAUUCAUGACUGGGGUGAAGUCGUAACAAGGUAACCGUAGGGGAACCUGCGGUUGGAUCACCUCCUU